rnacentral:rRNA from 2 species
UCGAGCGGAACUGAGAAGCUUGCUUCUAUGACGUUAGCGGCGGACGGGUGAGUAACACGUGGGCAACCUGCCUGUAAGACUGGGAUAACUUCGGGAAACCGAAGCUAAUACCGGAUAGGAUCUUCUCCUUCAUGGGAGAUGAUUGAAAGAUGGUUUCGGCUAUCACUUACAGAUGGGCCCGCGGUGCAUUAGCUAGUUGGUGAGGUAACGGCUCACCAAGGCAACGAUGCAUAGCCGACCUGAGAGGGUGAUCGGCCACACUGGGACUGAGACACGGCCCAGACUCCUACGGGAGGCAGCAGUAGGGAAUCUUCCGCAAUGGACGAAAGUCUGACGGAGCAACGCCGCGUGAGUGAUGAAGGCUUUCGGGUCGUAAAACUCUGUUGUUAGGGAAGAACAAGUACGAGAGUAACUGCUCGUACCUUGACGGUACCUAACCAGAAAGCCACGGCUAACUACGUGCCAGCAGCCGCGGUAAUACGUAGGUGGCAAGCGUUAUCCGGAAUUAUUGGGCGUAAAGCGCGCGCAGGCGGUUUCUUAAGUUCUGAUGUGAAAGCCCACGGCUCAACCGUGGAGGGUCAUUGGAAACUGGGGAACUUGAGUGCAGAAGAGAAAAGCGGAAUUCCACGUGUAGCGGUGAAAUGCGUAGAGAUGUGGAGGAACACCAGUGGCGAAGCGGGUUUUUGGUCUGUAACUGACGCUGAGGCGCGAAAGCGUGGGGGAGCAAACAGGGAUUUAGAUACCCUGGGUA